AUGGGAUUAUUACAAGAGGACAUAGCAAGAGAUAACAUUAUCUCAUUGCAUCGACAGAUAAAUUGGAAUUGUGAAGCUCAUUUCCUUGAAAAGGUCAUUGAAAGGUUCAUGGGACAUCCAGAACUACCUUUUCUGGUAAUUAAAGAUGGUGAUGUCUAUGAAGAAGGCACAUACCGUUGGAUUUCAAUCAAAUCAAGGAAUACAAAAAUACAUGGCAUGCAAACUAUACCUACAAUGACAACAUCUUUCUUCUUGGCAUUUGAAAGAUCCGACCAACCACAAACAUUACCAAAUGGCAUGUUUGAACAUUGCAGCAAGCUUGGUGUGCUAGUUCUCUAUUGUUGUGCCUUCAGUUUUGCAUCACCUCCUUUCUUGAAGUGUUGUGGACUAAGAUUCCUUGGACUGGACCACUGCACUGAUGAGAAAGCAACUGAAGGAGAGGAUGAUGCAGAGUGGCUAUGUUUGUCUAGUCUAUGGGUUCUGGACGUACGUUACACAAACUGGAAUGGAAUUUUUUGUGCAGAAAAGAUGGACAUCAUGACUAACAUCAGAGAACUAAAUAUAGAGGGAGAAAUGGGUUGGCAGUACAUAGCUUGCCUACAGCGGCGGCUACCUAACCUCGAGAGGCUCCGGAUAAUCAAGCCAACAUGUAAAUGGGUGAUAUCAGAGGCUGUUGAUAACUACUUCGUAGAUAAGAAAAGUAUGAAAAUACUUGAUUUGUCAGGGAACAGUGACAUGAAAAGUCUUCCAACAAGCCUAUCAAAAGCUAGCAGCCUUCAGAUGCUUGUACUUGAUGGCUGUGAUGAACUGGAAAGCAUUGGUGGGCUACCUCCCUCUCUCGAAUCGGUUAGCUUUAACGGAUAUGGGCCAGCUUCUCAAUGGACACAAACUGUUGAGCUACCUCCAAAACAAUUUCUUCCAUCCAGCAGAACAGAUAAUAAGGAUGUCAGAAUAUCCAAGAUCUCCUUAGCAGGCUGCACCCAGUUGGGGAAUUUGUACUUGUGUUGGCUACCCAACCUGGUGGAAUUGGACCUCUCUGGAACAUCAAUCAAGAUACUUGACUUCAAGACUAUGGUGGUGCAAAUCCCAAGGCUCAAGCGGCUGUUUCUAAAGGAUGCAAGCACCUUCGUGCAAUAA
rnacentral:rRNA from 1 species